rnacentral:rRNA from 1 species
UUACGGCCAUAUCACGUUGAAACACCGCUUUCCGUACGAUCACUGAAGUUAAGCAACGUCGAGCCUGGUCAGUACUUAAAUGGGUGACCGCUUGGGAAUACCAGGUGUU